UGCCCUUUGUACACACCGCCCGUCGCUACUACCGAUGAAUGGCUUAGUGAGGCUUCAAGACCGGCGCGGCCUGCGGGGCAACUCGCGCGCUGCGCUGGGAAUUUAGUCAAACUUGGUCAUUUAGUAGGUCGUAAAAGUCGUAACAAGGUUUCCGUAGGUGAACCUGCGGAAGGAUCAUUA
rnacentral:rRNA from 1 species